CCCCCCGCAGGGGGAUAACCGGGAGAAAUCCCGACUAAUACCGCGUAACGCCGCGGGGCUGCAUGGCCCCGCGGCCAAAGGAAGCGAUUCCGGCGGGGGAUGGGCAUGCGGCGCAUUAGCUAGUCGGCGGGGUAACGGCCCACCGAGGCGACGAUGCGUAGGGGUUCUGAGAGGAAGGUCCCCCACACUGGUACUGAGACACGGACCAGACUCCUACGGGAGGCAGCAGUGAGGAAUAUUGGUCAAUGGGCGUAAGCCUGAACCAGCCAAGUCGCGUGAGGGAAGACGGUCCUACGGAUUGUAAACCUCUUUUGCCGGGGAGCAACGGGGUCCUUGCGAGGGCCUUAUGAGAGUACCCGGAGAAAAAGCAUCGGCUAACUCCGUGCCAGCAGCCGCGGUAAUACGGAGGAUGCGAGCGUUAUCCGGAUUUAUUGGGUUUAAAGGGUGCGUAGGCGGGCUGUUAAGUCAGCGGUCAAAUGUCGGGGCUCAACCCCGGCCUGCCGUUGAAACUGGCGGCCUCGAGUGGGCGAGAAGUAUGCGGAAUGCGUGGUGUAGCGGUGAAAUGCAUAGAUAACACGCAGAACUCCGAUUGCGAAGGCAGCAUACCGGCGCCCGACUGACGCUGAGGCACGAAAGCGUGGGUAUCGAACAGGAUUAGAUACCCUGGUAGUCCACGCAGUAAACGAUGAAUGCUAGCUGUCCGGUUCUACGGGACUGGGUGGCACAGC
rnacentral:rRNA from 1 species